UUGAUCCAUGCUCCUCCUUGAUUAGCCAAAAUAAACUGAGACAGGAGGAGCAGAGCCAUAAGAGUGUAGAAGUUCUCCCAAACUAACAUAAACCUGCUGCUUUCCAUAGAGGGACCAGGGGUAGGUUCAUGUGAAGAGCCUGGAGCACAGUGGACAGCGGUUCCUGUAGCUGACCUACAGUAAGUCCAUACCCUGGGCACAGGCUUUUCUGGGCCUUUAUUUGCUCACAGUCAUGGGUCAGCUGUUCUCUUCAUCUAAGGAUGAACACCACAAAGAUUUGGACUCCACCUUUACCAAAUAUUUUAAGAAGUUUAAAACAGAAAACAAAAUCAUUCCUCAGGAAACCAUAGCUUCAGUUGAGUUAAACUUGAAAAAUAGAAACAUUCAGGGGGCAAACACUUCAAUCACUGAUGCUUGUGUCCUCUCUUGAUAGCAGUCCCCAAGGAGAAACCAUAACUGGGCUGGAGAGGGAGAGAUGGCUCAGUAGAUAAAACAUUUGCCUUGCAAGCCUGAGGACCUGAGUUCAGAACCCUAGAGCCCCCAUAGAGCCAGCUAAGCAUCUGUAGUCCACACACUCCUGUGUGGGAUACGAGGCAGAGAUAGAGAAUCCUAGAAGCUCUGGGGCCAGCUCAAACUUCUACAUGUAGCAGUGAAUAGGAGACACCGACACAAGGAAGUAGAAAGUAAAAGCCAACACUCAGGGUUGUCCUUUGACCUCUGCAUACACACCAUGUCAUGUUCAUGCCUAUAAUCAUCUAUAUAAAUGCACAAAACCAAAAAGCUUGUUCGUUGAAAAAGUAGGAAGGUUUGGGGCAGUAGCAAAAUGGUAUAGUAAUUGUCUCACAUGCAUGAGACCUCAGGUUCAAUCUCUAGCAUUCCUGAGAAAGGGUAAAAGCAGGAGUGGAGAGAUGGCUCCGAGGUUAAGAACACUGGCUAUUCUUGCAGAGGACCCAGGUUCAAUUCCCACAUAAUAGGACCCACAUAAUAGCUACAGUAGACUAUAUGUCCUGUUCCAGGGGAUCUGAUACCCUAACCUAAACAGGGACCAGUCACAGAUGUGUUAAAAGAUAUACAUGUAAGGCAAACUUUCAUAAAAUAAAAGUAAGUAAAGAAAAAAAUUAAAUAUACAUGUUGAAAUACAGAGCUAACAUGUGGGCAAGAGAAAUAAUAACCAUAGAGAUUCCAAUAGCCUUAAUAGUACCUAAGAUUACUAAAAAUCCUAUUUAAUCAGAAUUCUUGAGAAAUGUUAAUGAAGUUCUCUAAUUAUGUGUCAGAUCCAGUGAAGAUGAAUAGAUUCAUCUACUUUAUAGAUUUUUAAAUGCUGUGAUUACUAAAUUAUGUUUUACUCCAUAUCAAUAAAACCAUUUAAUAAAUUCUUUUGCAAAAAUAUAGACAUUUGUUGUUACUUGAUAUUCCCAUGAACCCAUAAUAGCUCCACAAUGACUGUCCUUAGAAUUACUAUUUUUGGAUGAUUAUCUCAUUGACCAUUCCCUGGCUGACACUUUAUCUUCCAUGAAAUAAAAUACAAAUAAACAGUACAUUUUUUAUUAAGACUGAAAGAGAGACACAGAGGAAAGGGAAAAAAUUAUUCAUGGUGAGGAGUGGAUUCUUAAAGUUUGGGCUGCUAUAAUCCUAUAGACUAUGUGGGUUAACAAUAGAAUUUUGUUCUUACACUUCUAGUGACUGAUGUCUGACAUUCAGAUGCCAGUGUGGGCAGACAUUCAGUGAAAGCACUCUUCCUGGUAAUGCCUCACAUGGCCUUCCAUGCUCUCUGUGUGCAGAGGAUGUUUCUCUUGUCCCCUCUUCUCACAAUUCUAUCAUUUGGACUCCAUUUCCAUGACCUAGUCUAACCAUAAAUGCCUCCCAAAGCCUUUCCUCCUAACAUCAUUCCGCUGAGGGGUUGGGCUAAUAAUAUAUGAUUUCAGGAGGGAAGAACAAUCAGUCUAUAACAGGUUAUGCAAAUUAUGCAUAAACUUAAGUUGAUUUCUUAAUGCAAGCUAUGGCACUCAAACACCAACACCAAAUACUCCAAAGUAUUUUUUUUACCAUAAAUUGAGAUGCAGACUUACCAAAAAGAUGACUAACUGGAGACACCAGACAACCCCUUCUCCACUGAAGAAAUAAAAUCAAAGAACAAGCAGAUGAUGUUUGCUGAGAAUGUUUGGAGCAUGCUGGAACAUGAGAGAGAGUUAUGAAGAAUGGAGGCUCCAGAUAGCCAGGUCAAGAAGACAACAGCCCACCUUGCACAGAGUGCUCUUGAUUCCCAGCCUGGGCUUGUUUGCAUGUGAUAAAUCUUCCUACAGCUCAAAAAAAUGAACUGAGUAGAGCCUGAGUUGUCCAUAUCAGCACCACAGAGGCAUGGAUUUUUCUGUAAGGAAAUACUUUAGCCAUCAAAGGUUUUGAGCUCCACAAGGAGUGAGUACACACACUCCCACAUGGGUACCUCUAUUUACAUAGCUCCCUGCCCUAUGUCAGCUAUUGGUGCAUGGUGCCAUUUUUAGACCAAAUCUAUCCACACUUCAAACGUCACCCCAACUUCCAUGUAUGGCACACACUCAAAUGCUGUCUGAGUGUUUCAAUCACUGUAACCCCAAAUUAUAUAUACUUCUUUGGCUAUUAGAAUGCCAUCACCUGUGUGACUUGGUUCAGAUUAGGGUGUUUGACUUUGUUACCACACUCAUUAAGUCCUCUGAAUCAUCAGUUGGCAUUUAUGGAGGCACCAUAGUUCUGGCUGGCUCCCAUGAAGCCACACACAAUGAGAAACACUGGCAAGGCACCUCUGCC